UUUUUUUUUUUUUUAAUCUGUCCCUGUCGCUUGGGUUGAGUGGAGAGUGGAGCCUCUGUGGGGGUGUUGGCCACUGUGCCCCCCAGAGAAGUCAGGGGAAUGGAGACGGCCGCUGCCUGGCCUGGCCCCCGGGGGACGGUGGCUGGUCCCCCGGGGGUUCUGAGGGGCGGAGGAGGGGGCGGGGAGGCGUCUCUCCAGGUGUCAGGAAGGUGCUCGGUGGCCACCAAGGUGGGGCCCCUGGCCUGCCCGGCGGGCCAGGGGGGAAGGGGCUACAGAUGUGUGAGCGAAGGGCUCCAGCAGGCGGGAGCAGGUGGCCGCCUUCCGAGCACUUGGGGAGGCUCCCCCCGUACCCCUCGGGGACAGCUUGCCCGCCUCCUCAGCGCCCCGUCUUGCCCCCAGGAAGCUCAGAGCUCCGCGGGGCUUCCUGGCGUCCAGGCGGGGUGAGGUUGGGUGGUAGGAGAGGCCGGGAGAGCCGGGCCCUGCAGAGCAGAAGAGCUGCGCAGUUUUCUGAGCGCUGGGUCGCUUGGGCCCCGAGGCCCUCGGGUCUGGUGCCACGACACGGCCACCACUCUCGGCACCUCGGGCUGUGGCAGGGACCCGGGCGGCUGGGGGUUUACCUCACCCCCGCCUCUGCCCCCAGCACAGCCCCCCUGCACAGCAGCCCGACCAGUGAGCUAGAGGCCCCUUCCGACCUCCGCGCCCAGCUUGUGGCCCUCCAUCCUGUCUCUUCCCCAAGUCCCGCAGCUGUCUUCAGCGGGACCCCCACGCGCAGAACACCUAGAAUCAUCGUGUCCGCCGCCCCAUCCACCGCGCGGCUGUGUUCUCCUCCUCUCGCCCGUAACCUGCUGUUUCUGGCAGAAUCCACAGCCUGGGUUUUGUCUUUAACCUUUAUCGCUCGCAAUCCCAAUAAAGCAUUUAAAAUUAUUUUUUCUGAGUCCUCUGCUCUUUCGUUGGGGUACCUGGUCGGGGGAGGGAGGGGAAGUCUGAGUCCUGGGAAGGGGGUGGGAUAGGAAGAGGGGGUAGGGAGGGGGUAGGGAGACCCUCAGGGGACACCUCUCUGGGCCCUCACAGCGAUGGGGUGUAGGGAGAACCACCAGACGGCCUGCUGCCCUUGGCAGUUGGGAGGGGGCUCCGGGGCCAUCUCAAGGCCCAGAUCCUCAGAGUUCAGGGGUGGGCAGGGUCCUGGGGGCUUCUGCAGGAGCCCACUAAUGAGGAGCAAAGAGCCUUCACUGUCGGUCAACCCCAGGGAACUCUCCCAACCUCGGGGGACAGGGUGUAGGGGGUCAGUCAGGCUCUGAAAGCUUCUGGACGCUGUUGCCAUUGCCAGAGAUGGAGACCCAGGGCUGCUCACAUCUGGAGACUCUCAUCACCUGUGUGCCCACCUGCAUGAGCAGACGGGAACCCCUGCCCCCAGGACAGAAGCCCUCCCCCGCUUGGCCCUGCACCAGCACCCAGACCCCUCUGACUUCUAAGUACCCACGCUCCUCGGAAGACAGUGAGGCUGGCCUAGAAAUGCUUGAGGGCUGGCCACCCUCCCCCGCUUAUGUACCCCCAUGCCCUUGGUCAGCAGGGCCGCCGGUGGGCAGAGGGCAGUGGCUGGGCCUGGUGCCGGGCAGCCUCCGGUGGGCAACCAGGGCUCUCUGCCGCAUCUGGGUCGGGGAGGCCUUGCACGUAAACCCACUCGCUCCUUCUCUGACAUUUACCGCUUGGCCUGGUGCUGAGCUGUGGCCUCGGGGGUCUCGAAGGGUGUCUCCAGGGGUGGCCACGCUGCCCAUGCCCACUGAGAGCUCAGUGUGGUGGGGGGGAGCUGCC
ensembl:lncRNA